rnacentral:piRNA from 1 species
UGCGAGCCUGCCCCACAGGGUCACACAAGC